CCUACGGGUGACAGCAGUCGAGAAUCAUUCACAAUGGGGGAAACCCUGAUGGUGCGACGCCGCGUGGGGGAAUGAAGGUCUUCGGAUUGUAAACCCCUGUCAUGUGGGAGCAAAUUAAAAAGAUAGUACCACAAGAGGAAGAGACGGCUAACUCUGUGCCAGCAGCCGCGGUAAUACAGAGGUCUCAAGCGUUGUUCGGAAUCACUGGGCGUAAGGCGUGCGUAGGCUGUUUCGUAAGUCGUGUGUGAAAGGCGCGGGCUCAACCCGCGGACGGCACAUGAUACUGCGAGACUAGAGUAAUGGAGGGGGAACCGGAAUUCUCGGUGUAGCAGUGAAAUGCGUAGAUAUCGAGAGGAACACUCGUGGCGAAGGCGGGUUCCUGGACAUUAACUGACGCUGAGGCACGAAGGCCAGGGGAGCGAAAGGGAUUAGAUACCCGGGUAGUC
rnacentral:rRNA from 1 species